UACGUAGGGUGCAAGCGUUAAUCGGAAUUACUGGGCGUAAAGCGUGCGCAGGCGGUUUUGUAAGUCUGUCGUGAAAUCCCCGGGCUUAACCUGGGAAUGGCGAUGGAGACUGCAAGGCUGGAGUUUGGCAGAGGGGGGUAGAAUUCCACGUGUAGCAGUGAAACGCGUAGAGAUGUGGAGGAACACCGAUGGCGAAGGCAGCCCCCUGGGUCAAAACUGACGCUCAUGCACGAAAGCGUGGGGAGCAAACAGG
rnacentral:rRNA from 1 species